ACCAAGGCGACGAUCCUUAGCUGGUCUGAGAGGAUGAUCAGCCACACUGGGACUGAGACACGGCCCUUACUCCUACGGGAGGCAGCAGUGGGGAAUAUUGGACAAUGGGCGAAAGCCUGAUCCAGCAAUGCCGCGUGAGUGAUGAAGGCCCUAGGGUUGUAAAGCUCUUUUACCCGGGAUGAUAAUGACAGUACCGGGAGAAUAAGCCCCGGCUAACUCCGUGCCAGCAGCCGCGGUAAUA
rnacentral:rRNA from 1 species